AUUGAACGCUGGCGGAAUGCUUUACACAUGCAAGUCGAACGGCAGCACGGACUUCGGUCUGGUGGCGAGUGGCGAACGGGUGAGUAAUACAUCGGAACGUGCCCAGUCGUGGGAGAUAACGUAGCGAAAGCUACGCUAAUACCGCAUACGAUCUAAGGAUGAAAGCGGGGGAUCGCAAGACCUCGCGCGAUUGGAGCGGCCGAUGGCGGAUUAGGUAGUUGGUAGGGUAAAGGCCUACCAAGCCGACGAUCUGUAGCUGGUCUGAGAGGAUGAUCAGCCACACUGGGACUGAGACACGGCCCAGACUCCUACGGGAGGCAGCAGUGGGGAAUUUUGGACAAUGGACGCAAGUCUGAUCCAGCCAUUCCGCGUGCAGGAUGAAGGCCCUCGGGUUGUAAACUGCUUUUGUACAGAACGAAAAGGCUCUGGUUAAUACCUGGGGCUCAUGACGGUACUGUAAGAAUAAGCACCGGCUAACUACGUGCCAGCCGCCGCCGUAA
rnacentral:rRNA from 1 species